GCCAUCCGUGACAGCACGUUGCAUCUGUUCCCAAUGGAUCACUGAAGUUAAGCUACGUUCCGCGUGGUUGGUAUCCAAAUGGAUGACCAUCUAGGCAACCGCGUGCUGCUGGCU
rnacentral:rRNA from 1 species